rnacentral:rRNA from 1 species
ACCCCAAGAUGAGUGCUCUCC